rnacentral:rRNA from 1 species
AGUGAAGCGGCAACAGCUCAAAUUUGAAAUCUGGCGGCCUCUGGGCCGUCCGAGUUGUAAUUUGAAGAGGAUGCUUUUGGCGAGGCGCCUUCCGAGUGCCCUGGAACGGGACGCCACAGAGGGUGAGAGCCCCGUAUGGUUGGACGCCGAGCCUCUGUAAAGCUCCUUCGACGAGUCGAGUAGUUUGGGAAUGCUGCUCAAAAUGGGAGGUAAACCCCUUCUAAAGCUAAAUACUGGCCAGAGACCGAUAGCGCACAAGUAGAGUGAUCGAAAGAUGAAAAGCACUUUGAAAAGAGAGUUAAAUAGCACGUGAAAUUGUUGAAAGGGAAGCGCUUGCGACCAGACUUGUGCCCGUCGAAUCAGCCGCCGCUCGCCGGCGGCGCACUUCGGCGGGCUCAGGCCAGCAUCAGUUCGCUGCAGGGGGAGAAAGGCGGCGGGAAUGUGGCUCUUCGGAGUGUUAUAGCCCGCCGCGCAAUACCCCUCGGCGGACUGAGGACCGCGCAUCUGCAAGGAUGCUGGCGUAAUGGUCGUCAGCGACCCGUCUUGAAACACGGACCAAGGAGUCGUCCUAAUAUGCGAGUGUUCGGGUGUAAAACCCCUGCGCGUAAUGAAAGUGAACGGAGGUGAGAGCUUCGGCGCAUCAUCGACCGAUCCUGAUGUUCUCGGAUGGAUUUGAGUAAGAGCAUAUUGGGCCGGACCCGAAAGAAGGUGAACUAUGCCUGUAUAGGGUAAAGCCAGAGGAAACUCUGGUGGAGGCUCGCAGCGGUUCUGACGUGCAAAUCGAUCGUCAAAUAUGGGCAU